rnacentral:rRNA from 1 species
GGCAUACGGCUCAGUAACGCGUAGCCUUCUAACCUAUGGACGGGAAUAACCUCGGGAAACUGAGAAUAAUGCCCGAUAGAACAUUAUGCCUGGAAUGGUUUAUGUUCCAAAUGAUUUAUCGCCGUAGGAUGGGACUGCGGCCUAUCAGUUUGUUGGUGAGGUAAUGGCCCACCAAGACUAUUACAGGUACGGGCUCUGAGAGGAGUAGCCCGGAGAUGGGUACUGAGACACGGACCCAGGCCCUAUGGGGCGCAGCAGGCGAGAAAACUUUGCAAUGUGCGAAAGCACGACAAGGUUAAUCCGAGUGGUUUCUGCUAAAGAAACCUUUUGUCAGUCCUAGAAACACUGAUGAAUAAGGGGUGGGCAAGUUCUGGUGUCAGCCGCCGCGGUAAAACCAGCACCUCAAGUGGUCAGGAUGAUUAUUGGGCCUAAAGCAUCCGUAGCCGGCUCUGUAAGUUUUCGGUUAAAUCUGUACGCUCAACGUACAGGCUGCCGGGAAUACUGCAGAGCUAGGGAGUGGGAGAGGUAGACGGUACUCGGUAGGAAGGGGUAAAAUCCUUUGAUCUAUUGAUGACCACCUGUGGCGAAGGCGGUCUACCAGAACACGUCCGACGGUGAGGGAUGAAAGCUGGGGGAGCAAACCGGAUUAGAUACCCGGGUAGUCCCAGCUGUAAACUAUGCAAACUCAGUGAUGCAUUGGCUUGUGGCCAAUGCAGGGCUGCAGGGAAACCGUU